CCAACGUGGACACCCUGGGAGGUCACUCUCCCCGGGCUCUGUCCAGGUGGCAUAGGGGAGCACAGGGCUCUGCCCGAUGAUGUACAGUCCCUUCCCACGCUGUUGGAGAAGAAGCGGGCCUCAAGUCUGUGCCUGCAUAUUCCUACAGCUUCCCAGAGUCCUGUGGACAAUGACUGGGGAGACAAACCAUGCAGGAAACAGUC
ensembl:snoRNA SNORA73 Small nucleolar RNA SNORA73 family